rnacentral:rRNA from 1 species
UAAAAACUUUCAACAACGGAUCUCUUGGUUCUGGCAUCGAUGAAGAACGCAGCGAAAUGCGAUAAGUAAUGUGAAUUGCAGAAUUCAGUGAAUCUUUGAACGCACAUUGCGCCCGCCAGCAUUCUGGCGGGCAUGCCUGUUCGAGCGUCAUUUCAACCCUCAGGCCCUGGUUGCCUGGUGUUGGGGCGCCGCGCACCCUCAGCGGGCCGCGGGCCCCGAAAGUCAGUGGCGGGCUCGCCAGGACUCCGAGCGCAGUAAUUCUCUCUCGCUGUGGAGCGCCUGGUGGGUUUUACCAGCCGUAAAACACCCCAACUUCCAAAGGUUGACCUCGGAUCAGGUAGGAAUACCCGCUGAACUUAAGCAUAUCAAUAAGCGAAGGA